GGAGGAUUAGCUCAGCUGGGAGAGCACCUGCCUUACAAGCAGGGGGUCGGCGGGUCGAUCCCGUCAUCCUCCACCA
rnacentral:tRNA from 1 species